rnacentral:lncRNA from 1 species
AGAUGGUCACAUAGAGAUCCGGCGGUGGCCGGCGGCGCGCAGGGACGGCGGCGGCUGUGUGCCUGAGGUCGAGGAAGGGUGGAGGUGGCCGAGGGAGGAGGUUUGAGUCCUCCCCAUGCUCAGGUCCAAGCCGCAGGAGAAGGAAGGUGGAAACAAGAGAGGGAGAGGGAAAGAAAAGGGCUGGGGUGGUGGUGCCUGGCCGGAGAUCAGUCGGCGGCGGCCGGAAGUCGCGCGGCUAGGUCAGAGGGAGGCAAGAACGUGGCUGGGGUGCGGUUAGGGUUAACUAGGGAUGAUCUAAGGCUCGGAUCACUAGAAAACCCUAGAAAACCAAAUAUGCAAGACGCAAAAAUUGCAAGGAAACCCUUCAAGGAUGGAUAAUUCCAAACCCAGUCCUUCACAGCGCGAGUAAUACACACUAAUACCCCUCCAUGAGCGAUCCCAAGCGAAACGGUACAUAAAAUAUUGCGACUUUUGCAAAAAUACCGUUUUCCCCACAACGACCUCUCCUCGAACAACGCCCGAUUUCCGCAGAUCCGUCCGUCAGAUUUGCGAACGGAUUGCACCAGUUCGAUCAGCACGACGGAGACAACAAAGCUACGAUUUCGUUACGUCUCGAUCGACCACGGAUUCACGACAAAAUCCAACCUUUCGUUCCAAUCGAAAGAAACACACAAAAUACAUAUAAAACAUGUAUUUUUGGAUUUUCUCGAAAUCCGUGCAUCAAACUCAAAAUCCGUCAACGCCAGUAGUUCCAGAACAACUGAACCGGUCGAAACGAGCUAUUGGACUGAUAUGAACGGAGUCCGAUACGCACCAGAAGCCAACUCUACUCCGU